UGCUGGCCGGCCUACAUUCGCCGCGUGUCCCACCCACCUUGACAGACUGUUGAAAACGGCAGGCAGCUGACAAAGUCAUUAUUACGCCGUACCUAAAGCCACGCCCUGGUGGGAAUUCCAAAAAGAAAAAAUCUCUUUCGAAAAGGCUCCAGUACCAGCAUGCCGAACGUCAAAUAUCUGGCAACUGCCAAGCACAAAAAUCGAGGAGGACAGCUUUGGCCGUGAGAAUUUCUCUGCACUUCCUUCAUUCGUAGCCCG
rnacentral:lncRNA from 1 species